CUGGAGUGCUUGGCCAAGGGGGAGCAGGGCCAGGCACUGGAAAUGGUCGAGGUCAGCCUUUACCUGGAGUGUUUCGUGGUUACCCUCUGAUUUCACCUAAAACAGGUGCAGGAAAAUCAAAAAAGGCGGGUAAAGCAGCAGCAAAAUACGGUGGAGUUGGAGGACCAGGUGGUUCAGGCACCCUUGGUCAGGGUGGUGCACUGGGUGGGGCAGGAUUUGGAGGU